UACCGAAACCCUGCAAUACAGGAGUAAAUAGACGAGCCCUUUAAAUAGCUCGGUACAGAAACCAACAAAUCAGUCUUUCUAGAGAAUCAAUUGCUAUUAUUUUGAGUUUGUUCAUUUGCGCGUUAUCACUUUAUUCAACUACUGGCUUUCCCGUUGACGAUCUACUGGAACAGCAAAGACAUGAAAAUAUGGAACUUAGAGAACUUUUAGUGUCUACAGAGAGUCGAAAAGAAGCGUUGCAGCAAAAAAAUGCAUGUCUACUUUAAAUCUUUAUGAUCACAUCUCUUUCAAAUUUCCUUUUGUAAUUGAAUUCUCCUGUUUCUGUCGGGGCUCAUAGCGCCUUUGAUCAUAUAAUGGAAAAGGCGCUAUUGAAUAUAAAUGCAAUACAUUAUUAUUAUUAUUAUUAUUAUUAUUAUUAUGAUCUUAGCGGUUUGUAUUAAUGCUGUUAAUAAUUUACAGGUUAUUUUGAAAGACCUGGUUAUCAAAAUGGAAAUUGAAGCACUCAGACAGUUUGAAAGAGCAUCAACUACACCGAGGCCAAGGUUUGAUUCUUCUACUACCGUCAGGCUCCUUGGCGACGUAGUCCCUAUGAGUCUUCCUGCGGUCAAACACGACUAAAAAAAUCAAAAAUUUUAUUUAUAAAGUAAAUUUUGUGAAAAUACAAUCAAAGCAUA